rnacentral:lncRNA from 1 species
ACGGUACAUAAAAUGUCGCAUCUUUUGCGAAAUUACCCAUUUUCCAACACCGACCUCCCCUCGAUCAACGUGCGAUCUCCGCAGAUCCGUCCGUCAGAUUUGCGAACGGAUUGCACCAGUGCGAUCAGCACCUCGGAAACAACAAAGCUACGAUUUUGUUUCACUACGAUCGACCACGGAUUCACGACAAAAUCCAAACUUUCUUUCCAAUAGAAGGAAUAACACAUAAAUACAUAUAAAACAU